rfam:Fusarium oxysporum f. sp. lycopersici 4287 chromosome 1, whole genome shotgun sequence.
GCCUUUGUAGCUCAGUGGUAGAGCGUUGCACUUGUAAUGCAAAGGUCCAUAGUUCAAUCCUGUGCGGAGGCA